rnacentral:misc_RNA from 1 species
UCAAACUUGGUCAUUUAGAGGAAGUAAAAGUCGUAACAAGGUUUCCGUAGGUGAACCUGCGGAAGGAUCAUUAACGUGUAUGUCAUUGAGCUCCCGCCCGUUGGCACUGGCAAGCCGAGCCAAGCUUUGUGGGCUCCCGAAGCGUCUGGCUGGCGAAGCUUCGUGGUCAUCCGAAGCAGGUGUCUGGCGCACCGGCAAAGCGUGUGCGCCCGGGCGGCGUCGCCCAAUCAACGUAUGUCAAAGAGCCCCGUAAGGCACAAGCUUUGUGGGCUCCCAAAGCGUGCCCGAAGGUGGCGCCCAACCUUCUCAAACCCCUGUGCACCUUGACGGCGGAAGGCCCUCGGGCCGGAAGCCGCUUCACAAACCCACAAACUUCAGAAUGCUCUGCGACUCCUGUCGCCUAACAAACUGAACAACUUUCAACAACGGAUCUCUUGGCUCUCGCAUCGAUGAAGAACGCAGC